AGAGUUUGAUCAUGGCUCAGGACGAACGCUGGCGGCGUGCUUAACACAUGCAAGUCGAACGGAAAGGCCCUGCUUUUGUGGGGUGCUCGAGUGGCGAACGGGUGAGUAACACGUGAGUAACCUGCCCUUGACUUUGGGAUAACUUCAGGAAACUGGGGCUAAUACCGGAUAGGAGCUCCUGCUGCAUGGUGGGGGUUGGAAAGUUUCGGCGGUUGGGGAUGGACUCGCGGCUUAUCAGCUUGUUGGUGGGGUAGUGGCUUACCAAGGCUUUGACGGGUAGCCGGCCUGAGAGGGUGACCGGCCACAUUGGGACUGAGAUACGGCCCAGACUCCUACGGGAGGCAGCAGUGGGGAAUAUUGCACAAUGGGCGGAAGCCUGAUGCAGCAACGCCGCGUGCGGGAUGACGGCCUUCGGGUUGUAAACCGCUUUCGCCUGUGACGAAGCGUGAGUGACGGNUAAUGGGUAAAGAAGCACCGGCUAACUACGUGCCAGCAGCCGCGGUGAUACGUAGGGUGCGAGCGUUGUCCGGAUUUAUUGGGCGUAAAGGGCUCGUAGGUGGUUGAUCGCGUCGGAAGUGUAAUCUUGGGGCUUAACCCUGAGCGUGCUUUCGAUACGGGUUGACUUGAGGAAGGUAGGGGAGAAUGGAAUUCCUGGUGGAGCGGUGGAAUGCGCAGAUAUCAGGAGGAACACCAGUGGCGAAGGCGGUUCUCUGGGCCUUUCCUGACGCUGAGGAGCGAAAGCGUGGGGAGCGAACAGGCUUAGAUACCCUGGUAGUCCACGCUGUAAACGGUGGGUACUAGGUGUGGGGUCCAUUCCACGGGUUCCGUGCCGUAGCUAACGCUUUAAGUACCCCGCC
rnacentral:rRNA from 1 species